rnacentral:rRNA from 1 species
AACCACAGCCACAUCACCCUGCAGCCCAAGACCAGUCACUCACUGAAGCUAAGCAGGGCUGAGCCUGGUCAGUACCUGGAUGGGAGACCACUAGGGAACACUAGGUUGCUGUUGGAA